AGUGAACGCUGGCGGUAGGCCUAACACAUGCAAGUCGAACGGCAGCACAGUAAGAGCUUGCUCUUACGGGUGGCGAGUGGCGGACGGGUGAGGAAUACAUCGGAAUCUACUUUUUCGUGGGGGAUAACGUAGGGAAACUUACGCUAAUACCGCAUACGACCUACGGGUGAAAGCAGGGGAUCUUCGGACCUUGCGCGAUUGAAUGAGCCGAUGUCGGAUUAGCUAGUUGGCGGGGUAAAGGCCCACCAAGGCGACGAUCCGUAGUUGGUCUGAGAGGGUGAUCAGCCACACUGGAACUGAGACACGGUCCAGACUCCUACGGGAGGCAGCAGUGGGGAAUAUUGGACAAUGGGCGCAAGCCUGAUCCAGCCAUACCGCGUGGGUGAAGAAGGCCUUCGGGUUGUAAAGCCCUUUUGUUGGGAAAGAAAAGCAGCAGGUUAAUACCCCGCUGUUCUGACGGUACCCAAAGAAUAAGCACCGGCUAACUUCGUG
rnacentral:rRNA from 1 species